GAGAACUCAGACACAGCUUGAAGAUACAAUUAAAAAAAUGUAAGACAUCUUCCACUUUUGCUCAAUCCAGGCUUGCUACUUCUUAAUAGAAACAGUGGCAUUAAACAUACAACGGUUCUUGCUGCAGAAGUUUCAGCAAGAAACACAAACAUGAGUUAUUUUUUAGCAAUAAUAAAAGCUAAUCAAUCUAUUUGGAAAUAACAAGAGCAUUUCUUAAACAAUCAGACAUUAAGAGCUUUGCUUCCACCUUCCAUCCGCAAUAUUGUUUCAGUCAAGAACAGGGAUAUGAACCAGUCAACUAGUACUAGUACCUCAUCAAAAAACCGUGUUUCCAACAGAUUGAUGGUUGUUUGCAGCUUUACAGUCUCUUGAUACAAAAUACCAAAUGGAGAGAAUUACAUUGGAAAAGGUUGAUAGAGGAAGCUAGAUUGGAAUCAAGCUUAAUUAUGUCAACUGAGCUUAUGGUUUAAGGAGAUAAGUCAUGGAAAGCUUAUAUUUAAAGAUAUCGAGAGCACAGCCAAUAACUAAUCCUACAGGGAAUUCAACAGCUGAUAGUGAUACCACCAAAAAGAAGAUACUAAAGCAAUGGAAGGAGAGGCAAUGUAAAGGAUUUUUGGAUAAAGACAAUAGAGCUAGAUACUAAGCUCCA
rnacentral:misc_RNA from 1 species